UCAUUCAACAUAAAUCAUGCUCUCAGUCCCUUAAUCAUUCUUGUUAUUCUUCUUUGAAACUCCUCCAGUUUCCUUACAUCCUUCAUUGCAUAAAGAAGAGUUUUUUUUAACAGGACUGUUUCACUUCCAAGAAUCCAUUCUGUGAUGGAAACAGUGGGGGUUAGAAGAUCCAACGCCAUGAGAGACUCCAAGGGAAAUGCAAGGCGUGGUCCUCGAACAGUCGCAGACAUUCACAGGAACUAAAAGGACGUCUGCCACAUCUGACCCAGAAAACUAAUUUUAUAUCCUUUUUUCUCAUAAGUAAUACAGAGAAGGGUUUAUAUGAGGUCUUUUGGUAACAUAGUCUACAUUCUUUUAUUCUGUAUUUAUUUAUUUGGCAUCUACUACGUGAAUGAGAGAGGUCUUGCCCUUCCCAUCAUGUUGAGUGUAGGGAGAUAAACAGCUGGUAGGAUCACAUCUCUUAGGAUCCGAGAUUUGUCUAUCAUCAUCCAUCAACCCUUUCCCCUUUAAUCUGGUCAGAGAGCUGCUAGCGAAGGGUGUCUGAGGGAAACUCUAAGGAAACACAGACCCUAGAGGAAGCAGAAAAAAGCAAAGUUGACAGAAUGUCUUCGUAUCGAUCUACCUUUUCUUGUAUCUGCUUUUUCUUUUCUCUACAGGCCCCUCCCCGUCUCCAAUUUGAAUAUAAACUCCAGAAGAACCAUGUUUUGGUCAUCAGUCUACCCCAAAGCCUAGAAAGGUGCCUGCCACAUAGGAAAACGAAAUCCUGCCAUGAGUAAGUCUGGGGCAUCCUGCUUUUAAAAACCUUUUAUGGGACCAUAAAAUACCUCACCUCACCACCUUUAAGAAGUUGGCUUCAGGAAUGAGAGCAAACUGAAUUGCACGGAGCUGAAAACAAGCCCACAGACUCAUGACCUGAGCCAGGAGCAGACUCCAGAGCAAAGUGUUGUAGACAAGCUGGGACUUUACAUGCCUAAGAACACGGUCAUUUACAACCCGGAGGUACUUUAUUGCUAAUGAUCUUUGAAGUUAACAAGGUUUGCAGAAGCUUUUCAGCAUUAUUAUUACUAUUUACAUCAAUGGCAUUAGUGAUGUCCUUUAUUCUUCCAAGACUUAACACUGCUAAUUGGCAUCAGCAUAAACAGAGGUAUAAAUGCUAUCAUGCAACACAGGCGGAGCCAGCUCUGCAGCUUUGUGGGUUUAAUAUGGAAAUGUUUGCUAUCUAAUGAGGACACAAAACGUUAAUCUGCAGAACAAAUUGUAUUUAUAGAGAAACGAAUUAUCAUAUGCAAAUGUGACACACAUCACUUGCGAAAUUCCUGUUGCCUCUGGGGCGGCCCUCUGUGACCUUUCUGAAAUGCAGCGCUUUGAAGCAGGAGCUAAUGGUUUCAUGCACUGAGGCUGAUUACUUUCAUUUCCAUACAGAAAUGAGCUAAAUGGGAAGGACUCUGGCUCCAGAAGAACACAACAGAGGCCUGGCCUUCGUAACUGUAAGCUGCACUCUGUUGAUUUCUUAUCCUUUGCUUUAAAACUCAGAGUUCUUCUACAGCGUUUGCUGUAUCUGCAAAGCUA